rnacentral:tRNA from 1 species
UGUUGAGUGGUGCAAAGGCAGCAUUCCUGAUUCUGAAUCAGGCGAUGAUAGUUCGAAUCUAUCCUCAAUAA